UACGGGGGGAGCAAGCGUUGUUCGGAUUUACUGGGCGUAAAGGGCGCGUAGGCGGUCAGCACAAGUCAGUUGUGAAAUCUCCGAGCUUAACUCGGAAAGGUCAACUGAUACUGUGCGACUAGAGUGCAGAAGGGGCAACUGGAAUUCUUGGUGUAGCGGUGAAAUGCGUAGAUAUCAAGAGGAACACCUGCGGCGAAGGCGGGUUGCUGGGCUGACACUGACGCUGAUGUGCGAAAGCUAGGGGAGCGAACGGG
rnacentral:rRNA from 1 species